rnacentral:lncRNA from 1 species
AAACAACUCUAAGCCCAGGUUUAAGGCAAGGCUAGUUGUGAAAGGUUUCAGUCAGAAGAAAGGAAUUGACUUUGAAGAGAUUUUCUCACCCGUAGUGAAGAUGUCAUCCAUACGGGUUGUACUCGGUUUGGCUGCAAGCCUGAAUCUCGAGAUCGAACAGCUAGAUGUGAAGACAGCUUUUCUUCACGGAGAUCUUGAAGAAGAAAUCUACAUGGAGCAGCCAGAAGGAUUCAAAGUCAAAGGAAAAGAAGAUUUGGUAUGUCGGUUGAAAAAGAGCUUAUAUGGACUCAAGCAGGCGCCUCGACAAUGGUACAAGAAGUUUGAUUCCUUCAUGAUUGAACACAGAUAUCGAAGGACUACUUCAGACCAUUGUGUAUUUGUGAAAAGAUUUGAUGAUGGUGAAUUCAUCAUACUUCUUCUCUAUGUCGAUGACAUGUUGAUCGUAGGACAAAACAGUGACAAGAUUAGCAAGCUAAAGAAAGAGUUGAGCAAGUCUUUUGCUAUGAAAGACUUAGGACCCGCAAAACGAAUCCUCGGUAUGAGUAUAUCCCGUGAUAGAAAAAAUCGGAAGUUGAGGUUAUCACAAGAAAGUUAUAUCGGGAAGGUACUAAAGCGGUUUAACAUGGAUAAAGCAAAACCAGUUUCUACUCCAUUUCCUAGUCACUUCAAGCUUAGUUCAAAGCAGAGUCCCACAUGUGAGAAAGAAAAAGAAAACAUGGCUAUGGUGCCAUAUUCCUCAGCUGUUGGUAGUCUGAUGUAUGCAAUGAUUUGCACGAGGCCAGACAUAACGCACUCAGUUGGUGUUGUAAGCAGAUUCCUGUCUAAACCAGGCAGAGAGCAUUGGAAUGCUGUGAAGUGGAUUCUUAGAUAUCUCAGGGGUACUUCCAAAAUGAGUUUGUGCUUUGGAGGUGGAAAACCUGAAUUGAUUGGCUACACAGAUGCAGACAUGGCAGGAGAUCUUGAUUCCAGAAAAUCUACUUCAGGUUACCUGAUUACAUUUUCAGGGAGAGCAGUUUCAUGGCAAUCAAAGUUACAGAAAUGUGUUGCUCUAUCAACUACAGAGGCAGAGUUUAUUGCAGCUACUGAAGCAUGCAAAGAAAUGCUUUGGAUGAAGCGAUUCCUACAAGAAUUAGGGCAAGAGCAGCACAAAUACAUUUUGCAUUGCGAUAGUCAGAGUGCGAUCCACUUGAGCAAGAAUCCGAGUUUUCACUCGAGGUCGAAGCACAUUGAUGUGCGAUAUCACUGGAUACGUGAUGUGUUGGAGUCAAAGCAAUUACAGCUUGAAAAAAUCCAUACUGAUGACAAUAGUUCAGAUAUGAUGACAAAGUCCUUACCUAAGGACAAGUACGAAUUUUGCAGAAUAGCAGCUGGACUGCUGGAGCCCUCCACCUAAGUCGGGAGGGGGAGAUUGAUGGGUUUCCCUCGUUAGUGGAGGAGAGAAAAAGAAGGAAAAUAAAUAUUAAAAUAAAAUAAAAGAAAGGACAGGAAACUUUGAAGAAAACGAACGGAAGAGAAGAUGAGAAAAACUCUCUCGCAUGCAAGGCCACUAAUUUGUCAGGAAGGUUGGCUAUAAAAGCAGCUGCCUUUCUUCAGUUCAAAUCAUCCUUUAGAAAACCAAAACAUAGAGAGUUUUGAGAGAUAAGAAAACCUCACUUGUGUGUGAGAGAAAAUCCUCUUGAGAGAAAAACCAAGAGAGAGUUUAGCCACCGGUAUUUGGUGAGAUUAUUUUUUGUAUUCCCAUUAUUUUUCUUAGUGGAAUAUAGAGUGUUAAUUUUUGUCCAUUUUAUUUACACAAGGCUGGGAGAAGUCAGAUCCUAGGAGUGCCAUAUUUAUUUAUUAGCUCUUUGAUUUUUCGCAAUCUUUCCCAACAC